UCAUUUGUUCCCUGAAUGUAUUGACACCUCCCGAGGGGGACUGGGUCUCCUUCUCACAGCGUCUUCACACAUAUUGACUGAAGCCUGCUAUAUGCAGAUGCGGCGUUAGAUGCUGCAGCUGAGAGUGGGCGGAAAAGCCGGGGCUUGGGUCCUCAUGGUGCUUACCUGCUGUCUGGUGGGACAGACAGAUACCAGUGAGGAAUCCAUGGAGAGAAUGCAUCAUUUCACAUUCACAUUGGAAAACAGAGGGGCACUGUCGUAUAAGAAGGUGCCUGAGGCUGGUGGGCGUGUCAGGGGAGGCUCCCCUGAGGAAGCCACGUGUCAGCUGAGAUCUGGAGUGGAAGCUGGCUAAGCCAAGGCUGGCGCAGCAUUGCAGACAGCGGGGCUGACUUGUGUGAAGGCCCUGAGCUUCUUGGUCUGUGUCCUCUGCGGAUGACCGGCACAAAGCUCUCCGCCAAAGCCUGCUUUCUCCCUCAUGGUGGAGAGGGAGCUGUGUGACUGGCCCAGUGCCGCAGCCAUCCACCCUCUGCGGAUCAGUUGUUCCUUCCUUGGCUCCCAGAGGACUCCUCCCUCCUCCCACAAACAACUCCAGAGCCCAAGACGGUAAGCUCCAUGAAAGUGGAAUUUUUGUCCAUUCGUUCACAGCUGUAUCUCUAGUGCCCUGGGGAGAGCUUCUUGUGCAUCACGGUGCACAGGCUGCAUUUGUGGAAUGAAGAAUGGAGAGCCCUGGGCUCGUCGUUCAGGGUCAGUCUCUGACUUGAUGACCAUCCUCCCGGAACUCUCCUCUCUCGGGAAGUGAAUUCUGAACAGAGACGCGCUCCCUGCAGCUGGCAGCCUGUCCGAUUACAGAGUGACAUGCACAAGACAGACACUCGGGCACGUCAGCCCUGGAAGUAGCCACCUGGCACUUCAUCCCAGCCAACCAAGGAAGCUCCUGUCCUGCCAUGUCUUUCCAUGAAAUGUCCCUUUACCUCUGGCAGCUGCCACUGCCCCAUGCUUGGGCCUUUCCCACUCCAGUGAUAAAGCCCAAGAAGACCAGCAAUGGGAUCAGCCAACCUGUCCUCUCACCGCUUGCUGAGAGUGUGGCUGUCAAAGGCAACUCCAGAGGCCAGAAAUAAAUGCCCUGCUGGGUGAUUUAAUUGGUCAGAUGAGAAGGCAAAUGCUGAGAUGCUUUUCUACCGAACCCGAACCCCGUCCUCCCCGCCACAGCCCUGGAACAACUUAGAAGCAGCAAUCAGGCUCAGUGCUCACUGAGGUACCUGCAUUACAAGUUCGCCCUUGGCAGACACGCAGCCAUCAGACUUCCCACCUGGCCUGUCCUGUGAGAAGAAAGGAAAGACAAGCAUCUUUUGGAAAAAGAAGCCUAAUACAAAGAAAGUGAUCAGAUGAAAAACAAAUGGCUGACGUAAAGAAAGAGAUUAGAAAGCUAGUGUAGUAUGGAGAGGCGAUUUUCAACAUGGGGCUUCUGAUCUGAAGAAAGAAAUGUAUCCCUAGGAGUUUUUCCAGGAUUCUCCAAGCCUCUGCCAUCACCAGCUCUGACUUUACCUUUGAGGCAAGGGACAUGGUGGGGAGCACUGAAAUUGGCAGAAUUCCACUUGGUUGAUUUAGAAGCUUGAGCUCUGAGAAGCAAGUUUGUAGACUUGGCUUUUCUGCUGAGCACUAAUGAUAUGAUAUUGUCAUUUUUGCUGGUUUAUCUUGUUUUUCUAAUGUUUAUUUUACUGAGGCUUUCUCACAUAUAGCAAAAUGCUCACAUCGAAAUUACACAGCUUGAUGAAUUUUGUAUACAGGUAUGCCCUGGCAAAUACUACGUCUUCAUAUGGGUUUUGCCUGGCUUUUGAAUUUCAUAUACAUGGAAUCA